rnacentral:rRNA from 1 species
CAACACUCUUUUAUCACAAUCGCACGAAAGUGGGAUAAGGGAAUCCAGAGCGCUUAGCUUUGGGAGGCGGUUGCCAAGAGUAAAAAUCUGGGAGAAUAAGUGGUGGGAAAGACUGGUGCCAGCCGCCGCGGUAACACCAGCGCCACGAGUGGGGAUCCUGAUUAUUUGGCCUAAAGCGUCCGUAGCUGGUUUAGUAAAUCUCUUGUGAAAUCGUUGGGCUCAACCCAACGGCGUGCAGGGGAGACUGCUAGACUAGGGACCGGGGGGAGUCAGAGGUUUGCCGGGGGGGGCGGUAAAAUGUUAUAUUCCCUAGUAGACCACCUGGGGGGGAAGGCGUCUGACUAGAACGGGUCCGACAGUGGGGGACGAAAGCCAGGGAAGCAAACCGGGAUUAGAUACCCGAGAAGUCUUGGCUGUAACCGCUGCGAGCUAGGUGUUGCAAUUUCUCGGGAAAUGUCCGGGGUCGAAGCGAAGGUGUUAAGCUCGCCGCUGGGAAAGUAUGGUCCCAGAACUGAAACUUAAAGGAUUUGGGGGGGGAAAGGGCGAAUUCCCGGCCGCAAAAUUUAAUUGCCCCUAUGGUGAGUCGUAUUACAAUUCACUGGCCGUCUUUUAAAAAACGGCCAAGGCAAAUUCUUUUUAACGUGCGGAAUGGCCCUUUAGGGGGGUUAUUUCGGAGCUGGGGAAACUGGGCAAUCUUUUUCCGGA